ACGGGGUGCAGCAGGCGCGAAAACUUUGCAAUGUGCGAAAGCACGACAAGGUUAAUCCGAGUGGUUUGUGCUAAACAGACCUUUUGUUAGUCCUAGAAACACUAACGAAUAAGGGGUGGGCAAGUUCUGGUGUCAGCCGCCGCGGUAAAACCAGCACCUCAAGUGGUCAGGAUGAUUAUUGGGCCUAAAGCAUCCGUAGCCGGCUCUGUAAGUUUUCGGUUAAAUCUGUAUGCUCAACAUACAGGCUGCCGGGAAUACUGCAGAGCUAGGGAGUGGGAGAGGUAGACGGUACUCGGUAGGAAGGGGUAAAAUCCUUUGAUCUAUUGAUGACCACCUGUGGCGAAGGCGGUCUACCAGAACACGUCCGACGGUGAGGGAUGAAAGCUGGGGGAGCAAUCCGGAUUAGAUACCCGGGUAGUCCCAGCUGUAAACUAUGCAAACUCAGUGAUGCAUUGGCUUGUGGCCAAUGCAGUGCUGCAGGGAAGCCGUUAAGUUUGCCGCCUGGAAGUACGUACGCAAGU
rnacentral:rRNA from 1 species